rnacentral:lncRNA from 10 species
GAGAAGCAAGGCUGCAGAGAAACUGUAGCCAUCACCAAACAACAAAUCAAAGGGAAGUGUCUCAGGAGAGAUUUCUAAUUAUCAUACAUUUGUCCUUGCAGCCAAACCAGGAUGCAGUGGAAAUGGUGCCUUUGGCACUAGCAUCUUAGGUCACAAAAUCAGUUGUCUUGAAAUUCUUACUAACUUUUGAACGUGGAACCCUACAUCUUCGUUUUGUACUGGUCCCCACAUAUUUUAUAGCUGAUCUGAAGGAGGAGAGAGAGAUGAUGGGGGAUGAAGGGUAUGGAAUUGUAUGCUAUGGCUGCCUGCUGUCGAAGUUCUCCAGGUAUGACAUUAGAGUACAACUUUCCUACUAUAACCAGU